rnacentral:rRNA from 1 species
GCAUGCGCGGCUACACAUGCAGUCGAACGGUAGCACAGAGAGCUUGCUCUUGGGUGACGAGUGGCGGACGGGUGAGUAAUGUCUGGGAAACUGCCCGAUGGAGGGGGAUAACUACUGGAAACGGUAGCUAAUACCGCAUAACGUCGCAAGACCAAAGUGGGGGACCUUCGGGCCUCACACCAUCGGAUGUGCCCAGAUGGGAUUAGCUAGUUGGUGAGGUAAUGGCUCACCAAGGCGACGAUCCCUAGCUGGUCUGAGAGGAUGACCAGCCACACUGGAACUGAGACACGGUCCAGACUCCUACGGGAGGCAGCAGUGGGGAAUAUUGCACAAUGGGCGCAAGCCUGAUGCAGCCAUGCCGCGUGUAUGAAGAAGGCCUUCGGGUUGUAAAGUACUUUCAGCGAGGAGGAAGGCAUUUUUGUUAAUAACCUUAGUGAUUGACGUUACGCGGGGGAAGAAGCACCGGCUAACUCCGUGCCAGCUGCCGCGGUAAUACGGAGGGUGCUAUCGC